GAGAGAAAGAAAAUAAUUAAGAGAGGAAGAAGUUCCAACGCGCUAGUAACUGCUGUUCACAGACAAGGUGGUUUGAGAAAAUGAUGUCGCCGGUAUUCCUCCUCCAACAAUAUCGCUUGAGACAGAAUUUUUCCAGGUUCCUGGCGUUGGUCCUCAAAGACUAAAGCGUUCCGCGCCAACCAAAUCUGCCAUAGAAGGUUAGGGUCGCGGGGAAUAGUGCUAGCUACUGGGGAGCUGUUCCAAAUUUGAAGAACUUCUGGGCAGAAGACAAUGGCAUGCAUCCGUGUUUCCGGCGACAAUUGACAGCGGAAACAAAGGCUGCUAAUUUGUGGUUUUCCACAUUUUUGAGUCUACAUAUUGGGAAUGGAGUAAAUUUACUGGAGGGUGAAAGAAUUGGUAUGCUAUACUAUACUUAGAUUUUAUUGAGUACUCCUCUGAGUUGUUAUUGCACCAUAUAAUUGAAUCUUCCUCUUCUG